AUUCAAGCUCAGAGAAUAAUGACAUAAUCAAACUAGUAAUCAAACGUUAGCGUAAAAACCCUAAAGCCAGUUAUCGUUUCUGGACAAAAUUACUAAGAGUGAUUUCGGCACUAUGAGACUACUCGCAUUAUUCGCCACUUUUGUGGUCGUAGCCUACGGCAGCAUAGAGAAGCUGCUCCUUAUCAAGGCCACCAUUUUCCUCACCGCCGUACUGAUCAAAUUGGUAUCGUCGUUCAGCGCGGCAGAAUUCGGGCAGGAUGUUCAUAGUGCCUGGACUGGAGAUCAUUUCAGAGAUUGUUGAGAUCAUAGAAAAACGACGGUGCAUCUGGAGACCCGAUUGUGGAAACGUUUGUUGGGGUGAACUAGUGCAGGCGUUGCUGGCCCUGCUGUCCGUGAUAGUUACCUCGACGGAAGUGCUCUGGGCAGCGUGGUGUAUUCAUGGUAGCUAAGUGCAUUUUGAUUGCGGUCAAGAUGGUUGACUUGGUGGAUUGGUGUGAGGAGGCGAAGGAGACUAUCUUUGUGUGGAGCGAAGGAAUUAUUUUAGCUUUGGAAAUUAGCUCGAUUUUGGUCGAUUUAUUUUUUGGAGACGGAACAUGGAAGCAGUUGAUCGAAGGUUCGAGUGCUUUUGUAAAGUUCUUCUGGUCAUUGGCUGUCAUCAAUUGUGUAUUUGAAAAAAUAAUGCACAUCGGACUGACUUAUUGGAAAAGAAAGGCUCGUGAACGAAGGAUCAUAGACAUUGUGUGAUAAGAAUAAAUCC